CCCUUCGGGUUGAUUGGCGGACUGUUCGACCCGAUCUGGUAUUAGGUGCACUGAGGAGUGACGCAGGGUAGUCCAACCGCGGCGAUGGUAGGCGUAAGCUGAUCCGCGGGCAAGGUGGUAGGGCGAGACAUAGGCAAAUCCGUGUCUCACAUAGCCUGAGAGCCGAGGCGGACCCGUUUAGGGGAAGUGGAUGAUCCCAUGCUGCCGAGAAAAACUUCGUAGUGAGUGUUAGAGCCGCCCGUACCCCAAACCGACACAGGUGAUCAGGUAGAGAAUACCAAGGCGAUCGAGUGAACCAUGGUUAAGGAACUCGGCAAAAUGCCCCCGUAACUUCGGGAGAAGGGGGGCCGGAUACGUUACAUCCUUCUCGGGUGGAAGCGUUGAUGGCCGCAGAGACCAGGCCCAAGCGACUGUUUACUAAAAACACAGGUCCGUGCGAAGAAGUAAUUCGAUGUAUACGGACUGACGCCUGCCCGGUGCUGGAACGUUAAGGGGACAGGUUAGCUGGUUUAGGCCGGCGAAGCUUUGAACUUAAGCGCCAGUAAACGGCGGUGGUAACUAUAACCAUCCUAAGGUAGCGAAAUUCCUUGUCGGGUAAGUUCCGACCUGCACGAAUGGCGUAACGACUUGGGCGCUGUCUCAACCGUGGACUCGGCGAAAUUGCAUUACGAGUAAAGAUGCUCGUUACGCGCAGCAGGACGGAAAGACCCCGGGACCUUUACUACAACUUGGUAUUGGUGGUCGGUACAACUUGUGUAGGAUAGGUGGGAGACUUUGAAGCUCGGACGCCAGUUCGGGUGGAGUCAUCGUUGAAAUACCACUCUGGUUGUUCUGGCUGUCUAACUUAGGUCCAUUAUCUGGAUCAGGGACAGUGCCUGGUGGGUAGUUUGACUGGGGCGGUCGCCUCCUAAAAGGUAACGGAGGCGCUCAAAGGUUCCCUCAGCCUGGUUGGCAAUCAGGUGUCGAGUGUAAGUGCACAAGGGAGCUUGACUGUGAGACAGACAUGUCGAGCAGGGACGAAAGUCGGAACUAGUGAUCCGGCGGUGGCAUGUGGGAGCACCGUCGCUCAACGGAUAAAAGGUACCCCGGGGAUAACAGGCUGAUCUUCCCCAAGAGUCCAUAUCGACGGGAUGGUUUGGCACCUCGAUGUCGGCUCGUCGCAUCCUGGGGCUGGAGUAGGUCCCAAGGGUUGGGCUGUUCGCCCAUUAAAGCGGCACGCGAGCUGGGUUUAGAACGUCGUGAGACAGUUCGGUCCCUAUCCGCUGCGCGCGCAGGAGAAUUGAGAAGGGCUGCCCCUAGUACGAGAGGACCGGGGUGGACGAACCUCUGGUGUGCCAGUUGUUCCGCCAGGAGCACGGCUGGUUGGCUACGUUCGGAAGUGAUAACCGCUC
rnacentral:rRNA from 1 species